AGGAGAGUUUACUUUGUGGCCGGUGAGUAAAUGCAUUUUAAAUGUUUUCAGGGUUUGAGCCACCUUCAGAGUACAGCAUGCAGGAAAGUCAGUAAAAGGAGAAAUGGGCAGUGGCUUUAUGUUUCCAUCUCUCGUGGUCGCUUUGAACACACAUAACUUACACAGCGGCUGCCCGACAUCAUUUGCUUACAUAACAUGUUUUAUUUAGCCAGACUAUUAUUGCUAGGUGUUUAGAAUGUUAGUCUGUUACUACUGGAUAUGCAGACACAAAAGCUUUCAAUCAUAAAUAUUUAUUAUAGAAAAUGCUUCCAUGUACACCAUUUUGUACUCAGCUUUUCUCCUUUAAUUUAUCAUAAAAUUAAAUAACCAGCAGCCACAUUUGGGGGUUAAGUUGGUCUAUUUUGUGUUUUUUUAUGGUGUAUUUUUUAAGUUACUGUCCUUUAUCACCAAUAUGUAGGGUCUUUAUUGGCUGUCAAAAUACGGUACAUUCAUUACUGUAACAUACUCUUUCUAUGACUGCUCCACGGCCACUUACAACUGUAUGUCUGUGGGAGCAGGGCUCCUGUCCCCAGUGUAAUUCCCAAUGCAGACUAAGUGCUCCAUGAGAGUAAAUACAUUCUGUGAUGGACUGAGCAUGAAGGGAUGAAACAAAUGCACUUUUGUUUUCACUUAAAUAUUCCGAUUUACAGUUGUUAUUUGAGAUCAGAUAAGUGAAGAGUCUGAAUUCUCAAGUAACUGAUACUUGGUUCUUCUUGUUUUUAAAAGUUUCAUUAGCUUUUUUAACAGUGCACAAGCCUCGUCUGGCUUCAAUUUUACUGUCAGCUCUGAGAAGAAAGACACGAAAGUUUCCUCAAGAGGGCGCCCCGCUCUAAGCUUCCUUGAGAGAGCGCCCUGUUAUAAGUUUCCUCAAGGGGGCUCCCUGCUCUAAAUUUCCUGCCACCUUUCCUUGGAAGGAAGAAAUAAGUGCUCUAUUAGAAAAAAAAAAUCUGUAUGACACUUCAUACCAAAAAAAUAAGGUCUGACCUUUCUGAGCAUAACAUUUCAAAUAUUACAGAAUAAUUCAUUAUGACCUUUUAGAGAUAUUCAACCAGACAGUCAUUUUGGUUGUGGAAUCAGAAAAUAGAGAGAAAGAAAGUCACACAGUUGGCAGUGAUGACCACUAGGCAGACGAGGUGCCUGGCAUAUCAUGUUUCCUGUUAUUCUUGGCUCUCAGACUUUCCUAACCACAUGCUAUAUACCAGUAAUAGGCGCUCCUCCAUUCAGUCAACAAACAUUUGUUAUGCCUGGUUAUGAAGCUUUUAACAUCUUGGUGCUACAAUAAAGUGUGGUGGGAAAUGUCUACAGAUUAAAGUACCCUUCUGCAUCUCACGUGUAAAGCAGAGGCAACAACAACGCCCAGGAUUCUUACCGUGUAAAAGGAGGCAUGCAGUAUCUGAAACAUAAUUGAACAACGCACCAAGUGGGUGCCUAGCAAAUGUUUCCUAGGACUACGAGGUUUCCCAGAGACUGGGUUUCUCAUCAGACCUGGAUCUCACCAAGACUAGCCUGGCCAGCAAGACGAUGAAGAUGGUAGGUGGAUGGGAGAAGAGCUGGUCAUAAAGGGUGGCAGGUAGAGAGGCUUGGUUAUCGCCAUCUAUAGUGCAGCCAGUGGGUAAGAAGAGAACCAAGAAUACAGAUAGAAUGAUAGAGAUAAAGGCUUGUCUGAUUUUCUUACACUGAAGGUCAUGUCUAUGAUCUACCCACAGUUUAUAACUCAAGGCCAACAGAAAUUUGACUGCUGCUCUGGGGAGGAGACAGCUAUAUGAACAGAUGAGCUUCUUCAGGUCUGGACACUAUCAGAUCUCGUACUGGAUUCUAACAAAAUGAAGAUGGCUUGCACAUGAAUCACAGAGAGGUGGAGAUGCGGCUGACCUACUGCAGUGUUUGCCACGGCCACCCAUGAACAACGAAGCAUUUCUAUUAAUGUUUAGUUCUGAUUCUUCGCUAUAACUGAUGUCAUCCAAUACCCAAACAUGGAUCCAAUUACAGGCCAGAAGUACAGGGACAGGCGCGACCUUAUUUUAAUCUAAUGGUCACAUAUCCAUAUGCUCCCUGAGAGCAUGUGAGCAUGAGAAGCCUUAGAGUGCGUCAUGUGUGACAACCGAAGCUGCAACUGCCUGUGACACUGACCGGUACCUCUUCCGUGUUUGUACAUAGGCCAGGGCAGAGUCCUCCGUUGGCUUGGGGAGCUGUGAUACCAAGGUUCAACAUUAAGCUCCCCUGUGUAGGUACUGACCAGGGGUAAACUGGCCUUGGAUACUACAUUCUAGAUGUUUGGAGUAAGACCUACUGUCUCCUAUGGGACCUAUUCACAGUUGACUUAGUCUAGGAUGCUGUCAGUCACAGUAGUGUUGACAUUCCUUACUUAGGCAACUUCCCAGGGUCAUGCGGGGGACGAGACUGUGCCUUCAUACUGGCUAACGUAAAACAGAGAGCCUAGAGCUCAGUGCUGCUUAGCAGUGACGGAAGUGCAGUGUGCACAGCAUCCAUCCGGCUCCCCAGCUCAGGCUUUCUACUGUGCUGUGAGUAAAUAGCUCCUUUGUCUACGCUCUGGAGUCUAAUGUUGAUUUUAAGCAUCCACGCAAUAUUAACAGACCAGCUUCUUAGCUUGCAUAUGGGCAAAAUCAAAUCUGAGACCUGUCUGACAAUUCAGUAUUAUUAUAGUACAGAGCACUGGGUAAGACGUUAACGUUAUGACUAAAUAGAUUCUAGAAUGACAUGAUAAGGAACGCAAAACCCAUUUGUCUAGCAUUUAUAGCAUUCAAUUAUUAUUUUUAAAUGAAAGCACAUAAACUGGAGCUAUGAACCAUUACAUCCUACUUGAAAUAAAAACAUACUUUCUGUAUAUACAUAAAUGGUUCUGUGUAAUGAAAGCCAAUAUGUUUUUAACCUAGACCAGGAGAUUACUACCCGCAUACAAAACAGAGACUAUAAAUGCUUCUGUCUUUGGACUAUCUUCCUGUCUCGUAUGAUUUAAGUGUCUGCUUGUAUUUUGGAUUUUUAGUCGGUAGAGUGAAUUUUUAUAGGACAGCAAAGCAAAUAGUUAUAAAAAUCAAAUUACUGAAGAAUAUGAAUUUACUGAGCUCUAGAAACGAAAUUGAGUCUGCAUUGUUCUUUCCCAGUGGCAGACAGAGUCUCUCCUUCCUUAAAGUUCUGGUGGUCAAUUUCAAAUACUGUGCUUUGUGACAAAGCUUUGUAAUUGCCUGUGACGGUGAGUGUGUCGCUAGCCUGCCAUACUGAGCAAAUCUUUGGAAACAGUUUAAAAAGUUCCUUGACAAUUCUAAGCAAAGGCGAAGAAGGAUGCUUCAAAGGCAGCCUCUGAGCUUUAUUUGCUGUUUUCCAAGUUUAAGAUGCUCAUCCAUCUGGCAGAGCAGCCAGACCAGACCUCAGCCAAGAACAUCUCUCUGACUGAAACACAUUCUGGCUCUCAAAGAGGAUUUGACUGAAGGGAAAGCAACAUCUUUAGCUGCUCCAUGGCUGAACUCUGCUAAUAUUUCUCCCCAGUGCCUCCUCCAAGCCUUGGCUCCAUCUACUAACUUGGUUUCCAUAGGAAUAGACAGAGCUAUCAAGUGCCGCAUCGUCAAACAGUAUAAGAAAAAAAAAAUGUUACUGCAAAAAAAAAAUGCCUUUCUUCUCUAUGAAGAAACUAUGGAAAGACUCUUUAUUCUAAGACUUCUUACCCAACAGCAGGAUUUUCCUGUGUCUUUUGGGAUUAUGAUAGUAUAUUUUAUUUAGAUUAUCAAGUCUUCUCAGCAGACAGGAAUUUAUCUAUAGGAAACUAACAAAAAAUAAAAAAAAUGCAAAAGUGCUUAAAAAAAGUGCAAAAGGCGUGAUGAUUAUUUUCAUGAGGGCAGUUCUAUCCUGCUUGUGCUAUUCUCUCAUUUAUUUAGGGUGGUUCUUUAAAAUGGCGUGGCCUUUUAAAGUUAGUUUUACAGUUAGCUUACGACGACAUUUUAUACAAAGGGUGUUGUUCUCGUUCCUUCCCCUUCCCCGGUCCCUAGCUUUCCUCCCCUCCAUGUGCAGCGAGAGCCUGUCUUCUCCCGUGCAGCCUCGGCUGGCUUCCUUGUUCCAUGCCUUCUGUCACACCUGUGCUUCCCACCGCCCUCGAGAUCACUUCUCCUCUCAUAGCCCCCUUCUACUUCCAUACCACACACUCUCUCUCCCCGUCUCUCAUAAUUUUAAAUCAAGACUUUAUGAAUGAGAGAAAACAUGAAGCAUGUGCCUUCUGUUACCCCCUGAACUUCCCACCGCUCUCGAGAUCACGAUCAUGAUCCCCUUUCUACUUUCAUGCCAUACAUUGUCCCCUCCCCGCUCCUUUCUAUUUAAUCUAAUCCCACUGUGUGUAUGAGCCGUAUUACCUUCAGCCACUCACCUGUUGAGGACGUCUGGGCUGAUUCCACUUCCUGGCUAUUGUGACUAACCAGCAACAGAUAGGAAUAUACAACUGUCUCUGUAGGGAGCGUCUAGAGUCAUCUGGAUACAUACCCAGGUAUAGCUGGGCCAUAUGGUAUCUCCAUUUUCAGUUCUUAAAAAGAGUUACUUUAUUAUUUAUCCAUGGGUAUGUGUACGUAUGCCACAAGUGUGUAUGUGC
rnacentral:sRNA from 1 species